GAGAUAUAUAACAUUUUUUUUAAUUUUCAGCUCCAUUGUAUCCGAACAUUAAUGUACUUAUAGUACAAGUAAUAGAUCAUACCUAUGGUUGUGAGCUUAGAUUGCAAGAAAUUUUAAAGACAUAUUUUUUAAAAUUGAAUAACAGCAUUGCUAACGAUUGCCUGGACUAUGUAAAAGAAAAUGUUGUCUAUAGCCUUGCUGUCUCUAAACGUGUUGAUUUGGUAAAGGCGAUUGCUGUUCGGACGUUAUUUCAUAAUAAUGAUGGCAAAACAAUGUGCAAAGAUGAUAAUAAACAUAAAUGUAAAUUAGCUGCAUUAAUACAUUACGCUUCAAAUAGGGAUUUGAAUUUAAAACUCACAGGAGGGUGUGAUAUUUUGGGAAAUUGUUCAUUCUUUUACACUAGUUUGGUAAAAAAAACAAAGGGACAUGUGUCUUUCCGACAAAUAGUAGAGAAAAAAGGUGAAAGGAACCACCACCCAAUAAUAGAAAUAUCAAAAGGUGGAAAAGAAUUCCAAGAUUUCUUUGUUUCUCUUGAAUAACAAAUGUGUUUUACUUAUACGAAAUAUAUGAAAUAAACUUAUUAAUACCUUA